rnacentral:rRNA from 1 species
CCUACGGGAGGCAGCAGUGGGGAAUAUUGGACAAUGGGCGGAAGCCUGAUCCAGCAACGCCGCGUGAGGGAUGACGGCCUUCGGGUUGUAAACCUCUUUCAGUACCGACGAAGCGCCCGUUGUGGGUGGUGACGGUAGGUACAGAAGAAGCACCGGCCAACUACGUGCCAGCAGCCGCGGUAAUACGUAGGGUGCGAGCGUUGUCCGGAAUUAUUGGGCGUAAAGGGCUCGUAGGCGGUUUGUCGCGUCGGGAGUGAAAACACCGGGCUUAACUCGGUGCCUGCUUUCGAUACGGGCAGACUAGAGGUAUGCAGGGGAGAACGGAAUUCCUGGUGUAGCGGUGAAAUGCGCAGAUAUCAGGAGGAACACCGGUGGCGAAGGCGGUUCUCUGGGCAUUACCUGACGCUGAGGAGCGAAAGUGUGGGGAGCGAACAGGAUUAGAUACCCUGGUAGUCCACACCGUAAACGUUGGGCGCUAGGUGUGGGGCCUAUUCCAUGGGUUCCGUGCCGCAGCUAACGCAUUAAGCGCCCCGCCUGGGGAGUACGGCCGCAAGGCUAAAACUCAAAGGAAUGACGG